CUGGCGCCUGGGCCCGCUCCCCCACCCCCCCCACCUCCGUGCUCGCCCCCCUCACCCCGUCUGCUCCUCUUCUCAAGAGCCCUCCACUCUCUCGCCUCAGCCCUUGGGGCCGAGCUCAUCCCAAGCCCCUGCCCCAGGAGGCUCCAGACACUGCAACGGGCUGGCGAGCUCCAGGCGGCCGACCUCGGGGUCUCGGGCGGGACCCAGCUGGACCAGGUACCAACUGGGCCCGUGGAUGGACUUGGGCCGGGCGUCUGCAGCGCUGACAGCGAGGGUUUGGGGCGACGAGGACGAUGGUGACGACGACGGCUGUUACUGUUCCCGUCCUCGUGAUCUUAAUGAUUUCCAUCUGAAACUACCUGACCGCGGGCUGGCUGCCGGGUUAGCUGGUGGCUCAGACCCUGUUCGUUGGCUCCCAGCCUCGUGUGCACCCCCGCUCGGCUCUGGGGCCUGCGGGCCAAUCGCAGUGACCGCUGUCGCACACAGGUUGGACCGUUUUGUGUGGCUGAAUAAAGCAGUCCAUGGGAGGUGCUGCUGAAGAACACCCGGGGAGGUGACCAGACUACAGAAUUUUCCACUGGAGAAGGAAGAGAAACCCGUAUCCUGGAGAACCUGGGGCUGGGGGCGCUGCGGAGCUCCGAGUCCCAGGAGGGCCGAUGCUGGUCCUCCAUGCUGCUUAAUGAGUCCCUGACUGCUGUGAGCCCGUCUGCGUGGAGGCCUUCCAGGCUGACCAGCGAGUCCUGCGCAAGCUUCCGGAAGCCACUUCUGUCCCAAGUUGCAAGUGGGAUUGAACGUGCCUCCGUCAGCAUCCAGCCCAGCGGAGGGGAAGAGAGAGAGAGAGAGAGAGAGAGAGAGAGACACUCCCUCGGCCCCACGCCAGAGCAGAGGGCACACGCGGCGUGCUGGCUUCUGCAUCAGCACCCCACCGGGCGCUUGGCUUAUCAGUAAUUCUGUUCAACUAGGUGCCUCAUGCCGGGUAAGAUGAGCUGCAGGCUGCUGUUCCUUGUGGCUGGUGCCCGCGUCUCCACUCACCGAGGGCCUCUGAAAUCAGACGUAACGGGGCAAAGUUGAGGCCUGGUGAUGCCUCCAAAAACAGCCCCAGAAGCCCUGAAAAACAGUGGGGCUUUUUACCGCAGGCGCCCCAAGGGAGAGGCGGGGACGUGACACAGAGGCAUUCCUGAAAAUCCUCUCGGGAAAACCUUCCUUCCCCCAGAGAUUCUCCCCACACACAGCCCCCUCACGGAAGCAGCGCUGCACCCCCACCCCCACCCCCAGCUCCUCCCUCCCUGGGCCUUAAGGCUCAGACACUGGACCCUGACGGGGGGGGGGGGGCUCUGUGUGCCCCCCACAGCCCCUAGAGACAUAUUCUCUCCCUCCUUCUCUCCAGGAAACCAGCCCUCCCUGAGGGUCUCUGCCUCCCGGAGUAACGAGGGAAAGCUCUUCACGGAAAAUGUCAGCUCAUCAGUACGGGAGGAAUGGAAGAAUUAGCAGCUCUGCAUUCUGCACCCUUCAGACAACUGAGCGGGACAAGGGGACGUGAAAGUGUGUCAAUCACACAGUGCCCCCCGGGAAAGAAAAAACACCCUCCACUUUCAUCGGAGACGUCUGGCUGUCAACGCCUUCAUGGGGAUUCAAACUCAGCAUCACCCAUGCUGGGUCAGUCUGACGUUAGGGGUCGAAAACUCCAGCUCACGAAAUCGCCAACGCUGUGGUCUUGCUGAAAACACUUCAGCCCUCACGUCCAGUUUACGGGAAGGAGGAGGGAUAGAGCACGCGGUAAACAACACCAGGAGAAAGGACCAGACAGGUGCCGAGAGCCAGACCUAACGCAUCCCUCAAACAGGGUAACGUCAGGAAAAGGGUAAGAUUGGUCCUAGGAUGAAAACAGCUAAAAAGAAGCAACAUUUCUAACAACAAGCAUGAACCUGAUCACCUAAGCAGCACGAAAGUAUUGUGAUGACAUUUCGGUAUGAACGGAGUAUCACAGACCCAUCCGUACUGCUAAUUGGGUGUGGUGAUAGCACAAUGCUUAUCUGGAAGAAUGGCCUUAUUUCUAGGAGAUGAGCUGUUGAGGGUGAAAUGUCUUGAUGUCCGAAACUUGUUUUCAAAUGACUCAGCAAAGACGAUACGUGCACAGAAGGUCGAGAGGACAAAAUCAGUGACCGGAGCUGGGGAGUGGACGUGGUGGGGAGUUGUACAACGUGUUCCUCUUCUCUGGAUGUUUGAAAUUUUUUUCGUAACAAAAAGUUGGGGAAAAAUAAAAUGUCAGGUACCAAAUAA